rnacentral:rRNA from 1 species
UACGUAGGGGGCAAGCGUUAUCCGGAUUUACUGGGUGUAAAGGGAGCGUAGACGGUUAAGCAAGUCUGAAGUGAAAUCCCAGGGCUCAACCCUGGAACUGCUUUGGAAACUGUUUAACUAGAGUGCAGGAGAGGUAAGUGGAAUUCCUAGUGUAGCGGUGAAAUGCGUAGAUAUUAGGAGGAACACCAGUGGCGAAGGCGGCUUACUGGACUGUAACUGACGUUGAGGCUCGAAAGCGUGGGGAGCAAACAGG